rnacentral:rRNA from 1 species
AUACGGAGGGUGCGAGCGUUAUCCGGAUUUAUUAGGUUUAAAGGGUGUGUAGGCGGGAGCCUAAGUCAGUGGUGAAAUCUCACAGCUUAACUGUGAAACUGCCGUUGAAACUGGGUUUCUUGAGUAUAGUUGAGGUAGGCGGAAUGUGUAAUGUAGCGGUGAAAUGCAUAGAUAUUACACAGAACACCGAUUGCGAAGGCAGCUUACUAAGCUAUUACUGACGCUGAUGCACGAAAGCGUGGGUAGCGAACAGGAUUAGAUACCCUAGUAGUCC